rnacentral:rRNA from 1 species
AUUGAACGCUGGCGGCAUGCCUUACACAUGCAAGUCGAACGGCAGCACGGGUGCUUGCACCUGGUGGCGAGUGGCGAACGGGUGAGUAAUACAUCGGAACGUACCUUAUCGUGGGGGAUAACGCAGCGAAAGCUGUGCUAAUACCGCAUACGCCCUGAGGGGGAAAGCGGGGGAUCGCAAGACCUCGCGCGAUUAGAGCGGCCGAUGCCUGAUUAGCUUGUUGGUGGGGUAAAAGCCCACCAAGGCGACGAUCAGUAGCUGGUCUGAGAGGAAGAUCAGCCACACUGGGACUGAGACACGGCCCAGACGCCUACGGGAGGCAGCAGUGGGGAAUUUUGGGCAAUGGGGGCAACCCUGAUCCAGCAAUGCCGCGUGAGUGAAGAAGGCCUUCGGGUUGUAAAGCUCUUUUGUCAGGGAAGAAACACCGGCUCUAACACAGUCCGGGAAUGACGGUACCUGAAGAAUAAGCACCGGCUAACUACGUGCCAGCCGCCGCCGUAA